UAGGGAAUCUUCGGCAAUGGACGCAAGUCUGAUGGAGCAACGCCGCGUGAGUGAAGAAGGUCUUCGGAUCGUAAAACUCUGUUGUUAGAGAAGAACACGAGUGAGAGUAACUGUUCAUUCGAUGACGGUAUCUAACCAGCAAGUCACGGCUAACUACGUACCAG
rnacentral:rRNA from 1 species